AACGAACGCUGGCGGCAUGCCUAACACAUGCAAGUCGAACGAGACCUUCGGGUCUAGUGGCGCACGGGUGCGUAACGCGUGGGAACCUGCCCUUAGGUUCGGCAUAACUCCCCGAAAGGGGUGCUAAUACCGGAUAAUGUCUUCGGACCAAAGAUUUAUCGCCUUUGGAUGGGCCCGCGUUGGAUUAGCUAGUUGGUAGGGUAAAAGCCUACCAAGGCGACGAUCCAUAGCUGGUCUGAGAGGAUGAUCAGCCACACUGGGACUGAGACACGGCCCAGACUCCUACGGGAGGCAGCAGUGGGGAAUAUUGGACCAUGGGCGAAAGCCUGAUCCAGCAAUGACGCGUGAGUGAUGAAGGCCUUAGGGUUGUAAAGCUCUUUUACCCGGGAUGAUAAUGACAGUACCGGGAGAAUAAGCUCCGGCUAACUCCGUG
rnacentral:rRNA from 1 species